UACGUAGGCAGCGAGCGUUGUUCGGAGUUACUGGGCGUAAAGCGUGCGUAGGCGGUGUCUUAAGUUUGUUGUGAAAUCUCCCGGCUUAACCGGGAGGGUGCGGCGAAUACUGAGAUGCUGGAGUGCGGGAGAGGUAAGCGGAAUUCCCGGUGUAGCGGUGAAAUGCGUAGAUAUCAGGAGGAACACCUGUGGUGUAGACAGCUUACUGGACCACUUCUGACGCUGAGACACGAAAGCGUGGGUAGCAAACAGG
rnacentral:rRNA from 1 species